AAGAGUCCCUAACGCUUAACUAACACCGCUAACGCCUCUUCUCCCCCAACAGCCGUGACGUGUUAGAGAGAGGGGAGGACGAGGGGGAGCCGGGGGGAGGCAGCCGACGUGUUCACGGCUUGAGUGAUGUUGACAAGAAAGACGCCGCCCUCCCCCUCGACGUGUUCGGCCAGGAAGUGGUGGAGAAGAUCUACAGUAAGAACUAUGCAGAGAAGGAGGCAGGUCUCAAGCAGCUACAGCACCACCUCACCACCUACUCCCCCGACACAGCUGGCAUCAGACCCGAUAGGUACGUGCGGGGAGCGGUGGUGUUGGUGCGUCGAGCUCUGAGGGAUAAAGUGCACAGUGUUGGCCUCCUCGCCUCACACACCCUCUCUCACAUUCUCAGUAACUUCAUCUCCAAGCACAAGUAAGUUCUCUCUAGUAAAGGUU